AUAGAUACACACCUUAGCUGGAUACAAAACAUUAUAUGAAAAAGAAUGACUGUGAUCUUUGAUCCAAGCAAUCAAAAAGAAAGUUAACGAAAUUAUCAGGAAGGAAUUUUCUGGACUCCCUGCCAGAAGUCAGACAUAGAAGAAGAGAUUUGUGAGACAACUUUUACCGAAUCCUUCCAUAAGUGACCUCUUAGAUCCUUCCAGUGCCCCUGCAACCUCUGGCUUCCUUUGCAGUUCAUCUCCAGGCAGAGACUCAGCGCAAGGAACAAUGAAUUGGCACCAAGUGACAGCCUUGGCUGAGCAACUCGCCACCUCUGUCUGUAAACACCACGAAGGACACCCUUCCUUUCAUCCAGAGAUCACAUUGUUCUCCUGGAACAGAGCAUCUGUCUGAGGAAACACUCCAGCCUGCUGCAAACCCUCUGUCUGUGCGUCCAUCCAUCGGGACCAUCACCCGUGCCCCGCGCAGGGCUCAGAGCCCGGGGUGGACACGGGGGUGGGAAAAGGGGAACACAGAGUGAUAUAUUCCAUGGAGGACUGCCAGCACCCUGCAGGUCACCAGCAGUGACUGGCCCUCCAGGUAUCCAAACCCUCCUGAGAAAUGUCAUUGUUGUAGGGAGCUGAGGCAGCCCAAGCUCAGCCUGCAUCCAGUCUGGGAUCAAAAGCCAGUUUGCUCUGAGCACUGUGAUUGGUAUUUCAAACAGGAGAUGUCAGCUGAAUCCAAGAGUUUUCUUCGCUUUUCCCAUCAGACUGGAUAGGAAUUUGAAGGAGAGGGAUUCUCAUAUCCAACCAGUGAAAAGAGCAAAUCAGCAGCUGCAAUGCCUGUCCCAAAGUAAAAUAAACCCAGGUAAAACAGAGAUUAAUAUAUAGGAGUCACAGUAAAUCCAAAGAUUUUAUGAUUGAUCCUUAUUAGUAUUUAGGCAGUGUAUGAACACAUCUUCGAUAUUUUCUAACAAAUUGUUGCUGUUUCUUUUCAUGUAGAACCUGCUCUUGCCUCAUAACUUGUCUCAUUUAGCAGCUGGAACAUUUACUCACCCAAGCUGCAGGGGAAAAUAAGUGCAUCUUACAGAAGCCAUACAUUCCAGAGAAAAUAUACACUUAUUCAUAUUCACCUGGCCUCUUUAGCUUUGCAAAGCUACCAGCAAUUCCUGGAAAGGUUAAAUUUCCAUGGGAGGUUAUAUUUUGUUAGGUUUUGCUUCGUGUGUUCGAAUAUCCUGUCCUGACUCCUGCUUAGCACAUUCCAGGUAACCACUGCCACCUGCAGCUACAAGUUAGAAUAUUUAGGGGAGUCAGGGCCUCCUCAGUGGGAUAAAAAGGCUUCCUGAGUGGGUAAUCAGUGUACAGAACAAGAUAACCAUAAUGUUUUAGGAAUUACAUAGUAGUCUUUCCUGGUUCUAUAAAUAAGGAAUGCUGAUAUUUUCAGGAAUGCAGAGCCUGAGCUCUGCUGUAGAAAGCACAGUGAAACUAAUCCAGUUUUCAGUUGUGUCACAGUAAAUUUUGUAGAAUACCAGCAUGUCCACUGCUCACAGCAGGAAUCAGAGGAUGGGAACACAGCAGAGCAAAAUUGGUUCCCCGAUGUCUCAAGAUUUUGCACAGUCCCUGCAGAGCACGUGCUUGGUCCAACAAAAAUCUCUUCAGGACUAUCAGGAAGAAUGUCUUCUCUGCCACUAAAAACUGGUGCUUAAACUCUGCAAGGUCUUGGGGUUUUAGAGUGGGAGACAGAAGCAUUAGGUUCUUCAGAACGCCUGACCUUGGGCUCAGCUCAAAUUUGUCUCUUGAACAGAAAUCUGAAUUCCACAAGAGCAGCUCUGAACUCCAGAUUCAGCCCAGCUCAGAUUCAGAAGCAGAGCAGAGCCCUGCAGGUCCCAGCCUGGCAUUAAUGGCACACCCUGGCUUCUACUUCUGCUUUGUGAGCUUCCAAUCUUCCACCCCAAAAGGAGUUCCCUGUACCCCAACCCCCAGAACUCCCGGGGUGCCCCGGUGCCCUCCCCAGUGCCCUGCAGAGUCCAAGCCUCAGCCCCGACCUGCAGAGGUGAAAAUGGCUUUUUUUAAUUGCUGACUUUCACAGAAACCAAACGGAGGCCCAGCCUUGCAGAAGAGGGGAAUUGCUGUGAGGCAGCACUCAGUAGGGCUCAGACUGGCUCACACGCCUCAGAAAGCUAUUUGGGAUUGUUAGAAGCUGUCAGGGAGCCAGAAUCUGACACAUAUUAAGGGUUUUUUAGUGCAGUCUGAUGAAUUGGACAAUUCUGACAUAUUCUAAAGGCCAAAAGUUGCCUGUCAGAAGUUCUCUGCUAUAGCUGAGUAAAAGAACAGACCAAAUGCAUCUCCGAGUUUCACACUUGGAUGUUUCCAAUGUUUUCCAUGAUCCAACCUGUAAAGUAUAGGAGAAAUUUAAAAAAACAACCCAAAA